rnacentral:rRNA from 1 species
UGGAGCUAUUGGCUUUGAAUUGUAUUGUGGAAAUGUAUUACCAACAGAGGUGCAGGUGCCAGCCUAUUGAAAUAAAGCGUCAAUGAGGGUGAGAAUCCUGUUUGUCAUGUGCAGCCCUUUGUGCACGGUGUAUAUUUGCUGAGUCACACUCCUUGGCAUUGGAAUGCAAAGUGGGUGGUAAGUUUCAUGUAAAGGUAAACAUGCAAUUGAGACUGAUAGCACACAAGUACCAUGAGGGAAAUAUGAAAAGGACUUUGAAAAGAGAAUUAAAUGAGUUUGUAUUUGCUGAACACAAAGUAAACAGACUUGAUUUGCUUGGUGGGAGUGUUGCACUUGCUUGACAAGAGCUUUGGGCUGUGGGUGUAAUGAUUCUUUCUUUGCAUGCCAGUUUCUAUUUGUACAUCUGAUUACCUUUGCACAUGAAUGAUAAGUCUCCUGUGGGGGGUGGAUUGCAUGUGCAUGUAAUGAUUUGUGUUUUGAUAAAUGUGUCUGGUGUAUGUGUGUGUUCCUGUGCUUGGGGAUGCUUCCUUCCUUGGACUUACAAGCCCUGACACACACAUGCUGGCAAAAUGCUUCUGCUUGACCCGUCUUGAAACACGGACCAAGGAGUCUAACAGAUGUGCAAAGUUUGAAGGUGGUAUACCUUUGUGUGCAAUGAAAGUGUCAGCUGGGAUAUGUGCACCAGCACCCAAUUAAUUAGCGGACAGAGGUUUGAGUUGGAGCAUAUCUAUUAGGACCCGAAAGAUGGUGAACUAUGCCUGAACAGAAUGAAUUCAGAGGAAACUCUGAUGGAGGUUCGUAUCGAUACUGACGUGCAAAUCGUUCGUCAUAUUUGGGUAUAGGGGCGAAAGACUAAUCGAACCAUCUAGUAGCUGGUUCCCUCCGAAGUUUCCCUCAGGAUAGCUGGAGUUGCUCAGUUUUAUCAGGUAAAGCGAAUGAUUAGAGGAAUUGGGGACAGGUUUGUCUUUGACCUAUUCUCAAACUUUAAAUGGGUAAUAUGUAGUGGUUGCUGUAUGGAACUUCUAAGAUAAAUGGCAAUAUUGGGUGGGCCAUUUUUGGUAAGCAGAACUGGCGAUGAGGGAUGAACCUAAUG